rnacentral:lncRNA from 1 species
GAUGUUUACGUUUGCAAAAACUCCUUCAAGACUGCCGGUCAUCGGCCAGACAACUGGAACCAUUUUGAUUCCAUUUUGAUUCUCGGGGGUUUCUCUGAAAGCCACAACAGGAUAUAAAACAAUCAGAGUGUCUUGGGCAGGGCAUUGCUUAUUUUGUAUGCUUCUGGGUUGAUUUUGGAAGUGAUCUGUGACCCAGAAACGCAAAGGACAGUGUGGGCUGCCUUUCAUCAGGGAAUUCACCAUCUUCUCUCGGAGCUGUUGGGCUGUACCCACCAGGAAUGUUUUUGAAGUGGUAUCCUUAUUAAAAAUCUCAAACCCAGAAGACGCCAUAGGAGCAGAACAUUGCAAAUCACUCCUGUUUACUUAGGCUGGGUAAUACCACUGUGCUGGCAGGGGCUCUAUUUUUUUAGUUUGGAGUUGAUCCCUUGAAACCAGAGCUAGCCUCUUCAGAUGUUCAAUCAGCAAGUGAUUUGGUUUGGAAGGCAUGUGAUGUACAGGCUGAGAGUUAUACGACAUAAGAACUCCAGUGAAGUGCUGAUCGGUGGCUGCAACGUUUUGCACUGAAGGAAGCAGUGCUCAAUUGUUAGGAUUAUUUUAACUAGGUUAAAAAAAUAUACAUAGGACUACAUCCCAAGACAGCGCUUACAAGACAGCAUGAAGGAGUGUUAGCUUGCAACAUCUAUUUCUUUGCUUGGCUGUCCCUGCUUUGGAAGACGCUG